rnacentral:rRNA from 3 species
CAACUUUCAGCAAUGGAUCUCUUGGCUCUCGCAUCGAUGAAGAACGCAGCGAAAAGCGAUAUGUAAUGUGAAUUGCAGAUCUACAGUGAAUCAUCGAAUCUUUGAACGCACCUUGCGCUCCUCGGUGUUCCGAGGAGCAUGCCUGUUUGAGUGUCAGUAAAU